CAACGUUGCCAACGACGGUUGUCAAGCGUCGUUUGUUAUUAGUUUUUCACUUCAGCCGCUUCAGUCACAGAAAAAAAAAACGAAAGUGAAGUAAACCGUUGGUGGUUUCGAGCAAGGAUUGGAAAUUGCGAAAAUGGACGAAGAACUGCAUCGAUCUUGAUGAAUAGUGGAUCAGUCUGUAGAAUGGAAAACAAUUUGGAUUGGGCAAAUGCGACUGCAAUGAACCAAGAAUUUCACCCCUGCGCGGGUUUUCACACAAUAGCCAAUAGGACCGGCGAAAUUGUUCUACUAUUGCACGAAGCGUAGUAAUUGAAGCUUCGUAAACGUUCUAUGACUGGCUGGCAGGGCCUAAUACUAAUUCUGUAACUUUGCGGAGAAUAAGGAUAUGCAGCUAUGCUUAGAACCCUUCACUGGCACUAGGAUAUUGAUCAUCUGCCUCUAAUCUGGGGAACAGACGUCAUUGUUAGCCGGUCCUCAGGCCUGCAAGAAGCAAACCCACUUCUUUCCUGUUAGGCUAAUGGACUUUCCCAAGACUUCUCGCAGUUUCCCCGGUGC